UGCUCAUUUAGAUCCUUUGUCUCCCCUCCAGCCACAGCUCGCGUGUACGCAUGCCCACGCAGAGUUCAUCUCUCCGCAGCCAGGAGAUGAAUUUUCACAUGAAAACGGGCCAUCAAGCCUGGGUCCCAUGUCUUUGUGGUUCCUUGUGGUGUGCCGGCAUCCCGUGGAAGCCUGAGGAAUGUGCUGAGUGACAGCCCGCACUGUGCCUUUCUCUUCUUUGGCACUGGCUCCCCAGUAUUGGUCUGCAUGUGUCCCCAUGCUUUCUGCACCUGCUGUUCCCCCCCCCACAUAAGAAAUCCUUUCUCCUUUCCUCUCUAAAUUCUACACAUUCACAAAGCCCCAGCAUAAUCAAAGAGACAAGUACCUUUUGUUAAAUAUUUAGUAGGUUUCAGAUUCUGUCUAACGAGGUGGAUAGUAUUAUUAUUCUCCCCCCCUUACUGAUGAGGAAAUUGAGGCACAAAGAAAUUAAAUACUGGCCCGGAGAUCUGUAUCUAGUCCCUCCAGGCACUCCCCUCUCCACAUGAAGCCCUCUCCAGCCCACACUGGUUUUUCCCUGUCUCUGAAUUUCUGCAGGAUGUUGCACUUUUAAAUAUUCAUUGUUAUGAAAUUCUCUUCAGUGUUUUU
rnacentral:lncRNA from 1 species